AUUGAACGCUGGCGGCAGGCCUAACACAUGCAAGUCGAACGAGUGGCGGACGGGUGAGUAAUGUCUGGGAAACUGCCUGAUGGAGGGGGAUAACUACUGGAAACGGUAGCUAAUACCGCAUACCAUCAGAUGUGCCCCGAUGGGAUUAGCUAGUGGGUGGGGUAACGGCUCACCUUGGCGACGAUCCCUAGCUCGACUGAGAGGAUGACCAGCCACACUGGAACUGAGAAACGGGCCAGACUCUGACGGGAGGCAGCAUUGGGGAAUAUUGCACAAUGGGGGAAAGCCUGAUGCAGCAAUGCCGCGUGUAUGAAGAAGGCCUUCGGGUUGUAAAGUACUUUCAGCGGGGAGGCGUUACCCGCAGAAGAAGCACCGGCUAACUCCGUGCCAGCAGCCGCGGUAAUUC
rnacentral:rRNA from 1 species